UGAGGCAGUUGACCAAUGUUUAUCUGUAAUGUUCCAUUGGGAACAAGAAAAAGAGGCACAGACCCACAAAGAUUAACAUAGGGUAGAAUGUGGUACCUUUCCUGUAGAACCAUCUUCUACACUCAAGUAUCUUGCAGUCAUUGGAAACGCUUUACUGGAAAUUGGCCUAACCUUUUAUAUAAGAGAAAACUGCCAGCAAGUCUUGGCUAGAAGUAUGGACUGUCCUCGGUUGGAACCACUUAACCUGGCAGUCCUUUCCCUAAAUUGACUGUGUGGUUAUUAAACCAGCUUACACCAGAGCUGUUGAAACUCUCAUUGAUUCUUCAAAGAAAAGCAAAGAACUCUGGAAGACACGUUUUUACCUUAAGAUGAAGAGAACAUAGUAAGACCAUAUACUGACCUCAUCAUAGAAGUCUGGAUUCUGAGUAUGAUGAAGGAUUGUGGUGUAUGCUGCUGUUGUAAAC